GAUGAACGCUGGCGGCGUGCCUAAUACAUGCAAGUCGAGCGAACAGACGAGGAUCUUGCUCCUCUGACGUUAGCGGCGGACGGGUGAGUAACACGUGGAUAACCUACCUAUAAGACUUGGAUAACUUCGGGAAACCGGAGCUAAUACCGGAUAAUAUAUUGAACCGCAUGGUUCAAUAGUGAAAGACGGCUUUGCUGUCACUUAUAUAUGGAUACGCGCCGCAUUAGCUAGUUGGUCACGUAACGGCUUACCAAGGCAACGAUGAUUAGCCGACCUGAGAGGGUGAUCGGCCACACUGGAGCGGAGACACGGUCCAGACUCCUACGGGAUGCAGCAGUAGCGAAUCUUCCGCGAUGGGCGAAAGCUUGACGGAGCAACGCCGCGUGAGUGAUGAAGGUCUUCGGAUCGUAAAACUCUGUUAUUAGGGAAGAAAAAAUGUGUAAGUAACUAUGCACGUCUUGACGGUACCUAAUCAGAAAGCCACGGCUAACUACGUG
rnacentral:rRNA from 1 species